AUGAAAUAUCAAUCUAUUAAAGAAGAAGCCAAAUACAGUACUAGGACAACCCACCAACAUAAUGCAAGUUACAUGAAACAUAAAUGUCACAGAAACAAAGUAAAAGACAAUUUGGUGGCCCACCCUCAACAUCCCCUUAACCAGAAUGAACCUAAAGAAAUGUACUUAGUAAUAAUCCUUUUACAUAAAUACCAGCAAUUGUGGCAUAACAACUCCCCAAGAGGAAAAAUAUCUAAGAAAUAAGAUGAAGAGGGAGCUAGGAGAAGGAAUACCAUACUGUAUACGUCUAUGUCCUAUAUGGAAAUUCUCCUGUGGUAACAGACAAGCUCAACCUCCAUCUGACUGGGUACCACAAGAGUUUUUAGAUUAAUUUUUUUUUUAAGGAAAAUAUCUGCCCAUCACCUAUUAUUUGUAUUUCUCUCAUGGAAAUUUUCUUCCUUUCCUGGGAAUGUAGACACUCUGUUCCUGUUGUGACUGACAUCUGAUAUGCUUAAUACUUGACAAUUAUAUAGCACCUUUCACCUAAGGAUCUGUUCUUUGGUUUGGGUCCACAUGUGUGUUAAAAAGCUUUCAGAAUUGCCUUGCCUCGCCUGUGUUGCAGAACCAGCAGGCCUACUGAAGAGCGGCCGCUCCAGCUGAUGUCAAAGCCAGAGUUGUCUCUGAACCUGGGAGCCCUGAUCCCCAACGUGGAAAAUUAGAUAAAACUUCCUCAACGUGUAUAAUUUAGAGGGAGAGGAACAGAUUGUGUUACAAGGAUCGAUAUCCAUCUCUCUCACAUUAUGUACUUAAACGUUGAUUGCACAGAGAGAGGUUCUUCAUAACAUACCCCUAAUAUAGCCCUGCUGUAAGUCUACCCCUUGUUCCCAUAAUUUGUGUGGUGUGUUCCACCACUGAAUUGGUCAUUAGUAGCUUUACAGAAACUCCAAAGAGCUGCCUUGGCUUUAAGCAAGAGGCCCAGCAAAGUCUGUAGCAAGAGGUCUCCGGGAGGGGACAGCUGUGUGAGGUCUGGUCCGGAUUCUGACCACGCCCCAGGCCUUCCACUGGGAAAAGGUCUCUUUCUCGGUUUCGCUGACCCACCACCUUGGCCUUAAUCCCUAUCUCUCUUCCUCCUAUUUUGUCACAAAUACCACUAAAUUCCGCAGAGCCAAAGAUCUGUUCCAAAGAGGGAUGGUUGGCUCAGUGGUCAAAGUCCUCCUGCGGGCCCUUCAGACGCUGCUGUUUUGCUUUGGGUCGGAAGGGCGGGAUGGCUUCCAGGCUUGGCCUACUCCGCGCAAAAGCAAUAUCUGCCCUGGCGGGGAACUUGUACCGCUAUGCUAACUUGGUGCAGUGGGUCUGAGGACUGAAUUCCC
rnacentral:lncRNA from 1 species